CACGGUAAACGAUGGAUGCCCGCUGUUUGCGAUAUACUGUGAGCGGCCAAGAGAAAUCGUUAAGCAUCCCACCUGGGGAGUACGCCGGCAACGGUGAAACUCAAAGGAAUUGACGGGGGCCCGCACAAGCGGAGGAACAUGUGGUUUAAUUCGAUGAUACGCGAGGAACCUUACCCGGGCUUGAACUGCACAGGAAUGCGGGAGAGAUCCCAAAGCCCUUCGGGGCCUGUGUGGAGGUGCUGCAUGGUUGUCGUCAGCUCGUGCCGUGAGGUGUCGGCUUAAGUGCCAUAACGAGCGCAACCCUUCUCUUCAGUUGCCAUCACUUCGGGUGGGCACUCUGGAGACACUGCCACCGUAAGGUGUGAGGAAGGUGGGGAUGACGUCAAAUCAGCACGGCCCUUACGUCCGGGGCUACACACGUGUUACAAUGGCGCGUACAGAGGGCUGGCAUACGGUAACGUGUGUCUAAUCCUUAAAACGCGUCUCAGUUCGGACUGGGGUCUGCAACCCGACC
rnacentral:rRNA from 1 species